UCCGGGCUAGCUCAGUUGGCAGAGCGUUUAGACUGAAGAUCUAAAGGUCCCUGGUUUGAUCCCGGGUUCCGGCA